GUGCGGUGCGGACGCUUUUCCUUGCAGUUCAGGAGCAGACGCUGUUGUGCUUUUACUUCCUGUGCCAGAAGAGCCACCCUGGUGUGGGUAGGAGCUGAUAUUGCAUGGAGGCUUUGCAUUUCCCUGAUGACUAAUGAAGUUGAACAGCUUCCCGUAUGAGUCCUUGCCGUUUGGAUAUCCUCUUUUGUGAAAUGCCUGUUCAGCAUUUUUGUCUACUUAGUAAAAAAGGAGUUGUCUGUCUUUUUACUAA